rnacentral:rRNA from 1 species
CCUACGGGAGGCAGCAGUGGGGAAUCUUGCGCAAUGGGCGAAAGCCUGACGCAGCGACGCCGCGUGGGGGAGGAAGGUCUUCGGAUUGUAAACCCCUGUUGCCCGGGACGAAUGCCCUCUUUAGAGGGAGUGACGGUACCGGGUGAGGAAGCACCGGCUAACUCUGUGC